rnacentral:rRNA from 1 species
GCGCAACUGACGCUCAUGCUCGAAAGUGCGGGUAUCGAACAGGAUUAGAUACCCUGGUAGUCCGCACGGUAAACGAUGGAUGCCCGCUAUUUGUCCAUUAGGAUAAGUGGCCAAGUGAAAACGUUAAGCAUCCCACCUGGGGAGUACGCCGGCAACGGUGAAACUCAAAGGAAUUGACGGGGGCCCGCACAAGCGGAGGAACAUGUGGUUUAAUUCGAUGAUACGCGAGGAACCUUACCCGGGCUUGAAUUGCUGAGGAAAGAUCCAGAGAUGGUGAUGCCCUUCGGGGCCUCAGUGAAGGUGCUGCAUGGUUGUCGUCAGCUCGUGCCGUGAGGUGUCGGCUUAAGUGCCAUAACGAGCGCAACCCCUCUCUUCAGUUGCCAUCAGGUUAAGCUGGGCACUCUGGAGACACUGCCACCGUAAGGUGUGAGGAAGGUGGGGAUGACGUCAAAUCAGCACGGCCCUUACGUCCGGGGCUACACACGUGUUACAAUGGGUGGUACAGAGAGUUGGGUGCCCGCAAGGUCACUCUAAUCAAUAAAUCCAUCCUCAGUUCGGACUGGGGUCUGCAACCCGACCCCACGAAGCCGGAAUCGCUAGU